CCACUGCCGCGUGUUUACGUCAAGACAGCGGGCCGCUUACUAGUUUCCUUAGUACUUGUGCGUCCGUGUCAAUACCGUGUGCUGUGAACUGAACGAAGAUAGUCUUCAGUUUUUGGUCGUCUCUUCAUUAUCUCGUGGUGACGUAAAGGUGACGGCCCGUGUGUUAGUUUCCCCGGUAAUUGUGCCUCCGUAACAUUACUGUGUGCAGUGGUCGUGAGAACUGCGAGGCGGCGGUGCAGACUGUGCCGUGGAGAGCCGCGGGGUGUUGGAAUCGCCUGCCAGUCACCUUGAAGGCGUCAUAUUUCCUCCCUGCUCUUCCCCGUGUCUUCCUGUCGAUGUUGAGGGCGUGGGGGCGGGGCGGCCACAGUGCGCCCCUUCACUGUGUUAGACAGGAGGAGAGCGGCAUGGCAGCCUGCAAAAAAUAAGAUUAAAUAAGUGGCACCUCCGAGGCUGCGACAAUGCAGCCGUCUGUCCUUCACGUCAGCUACACGCAUAGCAGCACAUCAACGAGUCCCAUACGUUUUCAACUCCUCUGACGGCCUGGCGUCCCCGCUCGGCCCCUUCCACGACUCGCAGCGAGAGCGAAAGGUCGAGGUGUGGUGGUCUUGUGGCGGAAGGCUGAAGGAGGCGGUGAAGGAGUGAAGGUGUGAAGUGUGUGGCUUCCACUUCACCAUCCUAUGAACAGCCUGCAGGAAUCUCUAUCAACACCUGCUUCUGCAAUAUUGGCAUCUGGUUAUCAAAUAGUGCUGUCACGCUGGGCCUGACAUACUCCAUUGCAAUUGGGGAAUCAAGCUUCACCAGGAAGAGAGGCCGAGCAUCACGACCUUCAAGCCUUCAAGCCCUACAAGAGGUGUUAAGUAUUGUCAGGACAAAACAGAGGGCCUGGUACAAGAGUUUUCAUUGCAAUCAAGGAAGAGUCAAGUUGCAGUAAGAAGAGUGUAGCAAGAAUUUUAAGCAGGAGGAAGACUGUCAAGCAGUUGACGGCAGGAAGAACGCGUGAAAUUCCCUUAAGUCGUGGCAGGACCAACAGGCAACCUUCAACACCUGCAGAGGCACAAGAGUUGUGGGCAGUUUCACCAGGAAGAAUUUGCUCCUCACUCAAGUUGACACAAAGACACAAGAAUUUGCAAGUGUUGUUACUCCGAGACCCUGCUGCAAAUGUUCUCCAAUCCACUCCAGUCUGGGAAGGAAGAAUGUAGGAAGUCCCUCUCUUCUGUACUCAACAAGCACCACCACCUUCAUUCAGGCUUGGGACAAGUUUUGUACAUUCCAGCACUUCAGUAUUAAAGAAAACAAGUGCCAUGUUUAUUAUCCUGUUGUGUAUUUAUUCACUUAACAUUCACAGUAAAACAAUAAACAUUCAGUAUUC